rnacentral:lncRNA from 1 species
CUGGGCUGUGACUGGCGCAGAGAUGGCUGGAAACGUAGGGGGGUUAGGAGUUGAGGAAGACGGGAUGGAGUGUAGUGGUGGAGUCGUGAGAGUAAAGGUUAAGAAGAGGACGCCUGAGGAGCCGUUGAGGUUCUUGUCGGAGGAGAGUAGUGAUGAGGGAUGUUCGGUUCGCAGUGUUGUACCGAGAUAAGUGGAGUUCAUGGUGUUGGUGAAAUGUAAGGACAAGGGUGGGGUCACUGCGGUGAGUCCGAUCACGAUGAUUAGGGAUUUGGAGAGAAAAGUAGGAGAGGUUGAGUCUGCUAAAGUUCUUUGUGAUGGAAGUUUGGUGGUGGGUCGUAUCAAUACUAAACAGUGCGAGAAGGCGCUGAAACUCAAACAGAAGUGGCCUGCUAUGACAAGGCAUCGGAACACCACGAUGCUGACGCGACGAAUGCUCCAUACCAUGUGGUAUUCCCGUUGAUCAUGCUGAUGGACGACCAGGUA